rnacentral:SRP_RNA from 1 species
GCCGGGCAUGGUGGUGGAUGCCUGUAAUCCCAGCUACUUGGGAGGCUGAGGCGGAAGAAUGGCUUGAACCCAGGAGGUGGAGGUUGCAGUGAGCCAAGAUUGCACCAUUGCUCUCUAGCCUGGGUGACAAAGUGAGACUCCGUCUCAA